rnacentral:rRNA from 1 species
ACGGCUCAGUAACACGUGGCUAACCCACCCUUGAGACGGAGAAAACCCCGGGAAACUGGGGUUAAUCUCCGAUAAGAGAAGACACCGGAAUGGGUCUCCUCUCAAAGGGCGCCUAGACCAUGCUUCUAGGCGUUGCUCAAGGACGGGGCCGCGGCCGAUCAGGUCGUUGGUGAGGCAACGGCUCACCAAGCCUAUAACCGGUACGGGCCGUGAGAGCGGGAGCCCGGAGAUGGGCACUGAGACAAGGGCCCAGGCCCUACGGGGCGCAGCAGUUGCGAAAACUCCGCAAUGCACGAAAGUGUGACGGGGCUACCCCGAGUGCCGUCCGCUGAGGGCGGCUUUUCCCCGGUGUAAGGAGCCGGGGGAAUAAGGAGAGGGCAAGUCUGGUGUCAGCCGCCGCGGUAAUACCAGCUCUCCGAGUGGUAGGGAUGAUUAUUGGGCUUAAAGCGUCCGUAGCCGGCCCGGCAAGUCUUCCGUUAAAUCCAACGAUUCAAUCGUUGGACUGCAGGAGAUACUGUUGGGCUAGGAGGCGGGAGAGGCCGACGGUAUUCUCGGGGUAGGGGUAAAAUCCUAUAAUCCCGGGAGGACCACCAGUGGCGAAGGCGGUCGGCUAGAACGCGCUCGACGGUGAGGGACGAAAGCUGGGGGAGCGAACCGGAUUAGAUACCCGGGUAGUCCCAGCUGUAAACGAUGCGGGCUAGGUGUUGGGGCGGCUACGGGCCGCUUCAGUGCCGCAGGGAAACCAUUAAGCCCGCCGCCUGGGGAGUACGGCCGCAAGGCUGAAACUUAAAGGAAUUGGCGGGGGAG